UUUUUGUAGUCCUUUGAUUUUUACCCCUAUAGUUUCUAUACACCUAUAUAUUAAACUAUUACAGUUUAUCCCAUUUCAAAAUAAUACGCAAACACGCAAAUAAAUGUUUAAAAUCACCAUUGAAGGACAAUAACACCAAUAGGAAGUAAACUGGCAAGUUUAGCCAUUGAAUUGUUUUUACAUCUUGUCAUGCUGAUAAUUUAUAUUGAUACUGCACUAUUUAUGUUGCAAAAGUG
rnacentral:lncRNA from 1 species